GGCACUCUAUGUCACAAAGCAGUGAAAGGUCAACCCUGAGAAGAGAAAGCCCAAAAAGACUUAACAAAGGAUCUGAACAUUCCAGGAGCUAUGAUAGGCCUUGUAGCAGGUUAAGUGUAGAGAGCACCCCAACACUUCCAUCUCUUUCUAAGCGAAAGCAGCAUCAGUCCUCAACAGACUCCUUUCCCAUGACCGAAGAAAGAUUUCAGAGAAGAGUCCUCUACCUUCUUGUUGAAAUAAGAGACCUUCUUAAGAGUCCAGUAACAACAGCUUCAAAUACAGAAGACGUUGAUCUUGUUACCAUAGACUCAGAAGAAGGAUUUGAAGCCUUAGACAGAAGACUUGAAAACAGGGACUUUAAAGCCAGCUUUAAAUUCUUGCUUCAAAAGAUUGGAGGUACAGAUGGUACUGACCACAUGAAGAAAGCAAUGUUAAGAACUAUGACAAACUCGUACAUGGCUGGUCUAAACAUGAAGGGAAAACGGGGAAAGAAAGCUUUUGGUUCCUCCCAACUCUACCUCCUUAUAAAAGAAACUGUAUUGACAUCUCAUACACAGUAUACAGAAUCAAAAUUCAAUGAAGAUUUGGCUAAAUUCCUAAAAUAUGCCCCGGAGCGUGUGGGAGGAGGUGGAAGAAGGAGAAGAGAUUGACUGUUUUUUCACGUUCACUUGACCAGAACUAAUGAUUUUACUCUUUUUCAUCUUCUUAAACUAAUGUUUUUGUGAAAAGCUGGCUACAGAUGUGAGCUAGGUUAUCCAUCAGUGAUUUUAAGUGAUACUUUCAAUUUAUUUAACUGUUUCUCUCUUGAAUAAAUUGAUUAAUGAUAUUUGU
rnacentral:misc_RNA from 1 species